rnacentral:rRNA from 1 species
UGGGGAAUAUUGCACAAUGGGCGCAAGCCUGAUGCAGCCAUGCCGCGUGUGUGAAGAAGGCCUUCGGGUUGUAAAGCACUUUCAGCGGGGAGGAAGGCGUUAAGGUUAAUAACCUUGGCGAUUGACGUUACCCGCAGAAGUAGCACCGGCUAACUCCGUGCCAGCAGCCGCGGUAAUACGGAGGGUGCAAGCGUUAAUCGGAAUUACUGGGCGUAAAGCGCACGCAGGCGGUCUGUCAAGUCGGAUGUGAAAUCCCCGGGCUCAACCUGGGAACUGCAUUCGAAACUGGCAGGCUAGAGUCUUGUAGAGGGGGGUAGAAUUCCAGGUGUAGCGGUGAAAUGCGUAGAGAUCUGGAGGAAUACCGGUGGCGAAGGCGGCCCCCUGGACAAAGACUGACGCUCAGGUGCGAAAGCGUGGGGAGCAAACAGG